UUGGCAAACAAUCAAUAAGGGAUUGACAACCCCUUCAUAGCGUUGGGAGCAAGCUUUUGUGUUUAUGCAGGAUCUUGAGAUACUCCUCCACUGGAUUGAUACCUUGGUUCUCAAACUGAGGGAAAUACUUACCACCACUACGCUACAUCACCCUUUCCGUUUGGAGGGAACACCAACACAAGGCCCCAAGGCCACGGGGAGAAAUCCUUUGCAUACUUUCCUAGGAAGUCCCUUAAGGCGCAGCCACAGCUGAAGGAUUCCUGGUGCCGUUGCUGAGGGAAUAUCAAGCAACACUCCUAUUUCUGGCGUUGUUGCCGGGAGGAGCAUGUCAAGAUAAUUUCCCAACAACGUGCCUAUUUCUAGCGCCAUUGGAAGGUCUUUUGUUGCAGUAGCAGAAGUAUUUCUGGCACCGUUGCCGGGGAGGAGAAAUCAAGAUCUAUCCAAGUAGGUCUAACAAACUCAUCUCCUGCAUUUACUUUUGUUGCUAGUUGCCUCCCGUUUUCCUCUCCCCCACU
rnacentral:lncRNA from 1 species